CCUACGGGGGGCAGCAGUGGGGAAUAUUGGUCAAUGGAGGAAACUCUGACCCAGCAAUGCCGCGUGAAUGAUGAAGGUCUUCGGAUUGUAAAGUUCUUUAGUCAGGGAAGAAGUCAAUGACGGUUCCUGAAUAAUAAGCGCCUGGUAACUACGUGGCAGCAGCCGCGGUAAUGCGGAGGGAACAAGCGUUGUUCGGCAGGACUGGGCGUAAAUGCUGCGUCGGCGGUUGUAAAAGGUAGAAGUAAAAUACCCAGGGCUUAACUCGGGUGCUGCAUCUACAAUUGUAUGACUAGAGUGCUGGAGAGGUAAGUGGAAUUCGUAGUGUAGCGGUGAAAUGCGUAGAUAUUAGGAGGAACACCAGUGGCGAAGGCGGCUUACUGGAACGUAACUGACGUUGAUGCUCGAAAGCGUGGGGAGCAAACAGGAUUAGAUACCCCAGUAGUC
rnacentral:rRNA from 1 species